GAUGAAGAACGUAGCGAAAUGCGAUAAGUAGUGUGAAUUGCAGAAUUCGGUGAAUCAUCGAAUCUUUGAACGCACAUUGCGCCCCUUGGUAUCCCGAGGGGCAUGCCUGUUCGAGCGUCAUUUCACCACUCAAGCCUGGCUUGGUGUUGGGCGACGUCCCCUUUAGGGACGCGCCUCGAAACGCUCGGCGGCGUGGCACCGGCUUUAAGCGUAGCAGAAUCUUUCGCUUUGGAAGUCGGGGCCCCGCCUGCCGGAAUACCUACUCGUAAGGUUGACCUCGGAUCAGGCAGGGAUACCCGCUGAACUUAAGCAUAUCAAUAAGCGGAGGA
rnacentral:misc_RNA from 1 species